UCUCUCCUUCAGAUGUCUUAGCACUAGGCUU
rnacentral:piRNA from 1 species